rnacentral:rRNA from 1 species
GACGAACGCUGGCGGCGUGCUUAACACAUGCAAGUCGAACGGAGCACCCUUGAUUGAGGUUUCGGCCAAAUGAUAGGAAUGCUUAGUGGCGGACUGGUGAGUAACGCGUGAGGAACCUGCCUUUCAGAGGGGGACAACAGUUGGAAACGACUGCUAAUACCGCAUGACGCAUUUUGAUCGCAUGGUCGAAAUGCCAAAGAUUUAUCGCUGAAAGAUGGCCUCGCGUCUGAUUAGCUAGUUGGUGAGGUAACGGCCCACCAAGGCGACGAUCAGUAGCCGGACUGAGAGGUUGACCGGCCACAUUGGGACUGGGAUACGGCCCAGACUCCUACGGGAGGCAGCAGUGGGGAAUAUUGGGCAAUGGGCGCAAGCCUGACCCAGCAACGCCGCGUGAAGGAAGAAGGCUUUCGGGUUGUAAACUUCUUUUAAGUGGGAAGAGUAGAAGACGGUACCACUUGAAUAAGCCACGGCUAACUACGUGCCAGCCGCCGCAGUAA